AUUGAACGCUGGCGGCAUGCCUUACACAUGCAAGUCGAACGGCAGCGGACCUUCGGGUGCCGGCGAGUGGCGAACGGGUGAGUAAUAUAUCGGAACGUACCUUUCAGUGGGGAUAACGUAGCGAAAGUUACGCUAAUACCGCAUAUUCUGUGAGCAGGAAAGCAGGGGAUCGCAAGACCUUGCGCUGAUUGAGCGGCCGAUAUCAGAUUAGCUAGUUGGUGAGGUAAAGGCUCACCAAGGCGACGAUCUGUAGCGGGUCUGAGAGGAUGAUCCGCCACACUGGAACUGAGACACGGUCCAGACUCCUACGGGAGGCAGCAGUGGGGAAUUUUGGACAAUGGGCGCAAGCCUGAUCCAGCCAUGCCGCGUGAGUGAAGAAGGCCUUCGGGUCGUAAAGCUCUUUCGGCCGGGAAGAAAUCGCACAGGUUAAUACCCUGUGUGGAUGACGGUACCGGAAUAAGAAGCACCGGCUAACUACGUG
rnacentral:rRNA from 1 species